rnacentral:lncRNA from 1 species
ACAGAAAGAUGUGUGUCUUCACUCCACUCCACCCCAUACUUCCAUCUAAUAAAAGUGGCUACUUUUCCUUUAUUCAUCUACUUGCUUCCUCACAGCAAUAGGAAUUCUAACAAAAUGUUUGCCAUCACUCCAUGCCAAACUUCCAAAGGUAAAUUUACCACUUCUUUGGUGAGUAGAUGUGAUCUUUACCUUAAAGGAGAUCUUCUUUGUCUUGGCAUUAAACUUCAAGACAUCUGGAGUUACUUUAAUAGCAACGUUUCUCGGAGGUUUAACCACUAAUUUGUAUAUAGAGUUAACAUUUCCAACAUUAGUAACAGUUCUCUUGAUAGUAACUGAAUCCUUGAGAUUUGGAAUUGAUAUUGAAGGGAGAUUCAUAUCCAACCUUGACGGUACUACUUUGGGACACACAAUGCCUGCUGAAGAAGUAGAAUUUUUCUUGUCUGAAUAAUACGUAGUUACAUUGUAAACCCUAUCAUAACUAUAGCCCAAACUGCAAAGAUAAUUCGAAUAAUCAUUUUUCUCCAUAUCAUAAAUUAAACCAGGAUCUGCUGCUCCAUUUGGAUUGCAUAUGCCACCUCCAAAGUCAAAUGGAUCAGCAAAAUCUCCUCCAGUUCCUUCUGAAAAAAUUUCAGCUUUAUAUGUAUCCUCGUUCCAUGCUACACAGUUCACAGAAAAUUUCAAUCAGUAAAUACAUAAACAAAAAUGUUGAAAAGAAGGAAAGACUAUAUAUUUUGCUCAAGAAUUUAGUUGAUGUACGAUAGCAUUGUAAAACCUUUUGAGCAUGAUGGGAUUAAUUAAUUAAAGUGAUGUAUAACAACAUGAAAUACUAAUUUAAGUUUAAUUUGGUAGUAAGCAACCUUGUUAUAACUUAUAAUAUGUUAAAAUAUAUUAGUAGUGUAUAAAUAAUAAAUGUAAGGUAAAUCAUUUUGUCAAUGUGUUGACAGUAUUUGUGUUCUUUUAUGUUAAAUUAAUGUAUAGCAAUGAGAACUUUUCAUAUAGAAUUCGCUAAGGUAAUUUAGUAUACUAUAAUAAGUCGAAUUGUGCUAUUAAUGUAUAGAAUUUAAAUUUAUAAGAUAUUACCUGUUGUCAUGAGUGCAGACUUAAUAGCUGUUGGAGAUCAAUUAGGAUGUGCAGCUUUGAGGAGUGCAACAAUUCCUGCGACAUGAGGGGCUGACAUGGAUGUUCCUGACGCGAGUUUGAAUCCAUUGUAUCCUCCAGCAGCAGGUGGAAAUGCUGCGAAUAUAUUAACACUAGGAGCUGCAAUAUCAGGUAAUAAUAUUUAAGUAAAAUUUAUAAAUCACUUAAAAAAAUAUAAUAAAAUAAUUCAAUGAGAGAAUAAAAAUUGUUAAAUCAUUUUAUAUUUACCUUUAGAAUUUCUGGAGCAAAGGAAUUAGGGCCUCUUGAGGAGAAUCUAGGCACUGUUAUGUAUGUCUUCUUGCCCUUAAGAAUUUUAGUUUGUCCAUAUUUAAUUAUUGGAUCUUGAUUGAUGUUAAAAAUGAUGAAUCAAUUUAGUGAUCUAUAAUAACGCAAGUAAAAAAUUAAAAGUAUUUUGACGUGAUAAAAGUUUUUUUUAAAAUAAAAAAUUCCUUGUUUCUCAGAAAAUAAAUAUUUUUCUCAAUUUAAAAAUUUCCUCUCGCGUUAGUCGGAGAGUGAAUAAUAUUUUUAAGAAAAAUGUUUAUAAAGAUUGAUAAUAAUAUUAGCACCGACUAAUGCUUAGUAAAAAUUAUAAUUACUACUGACUAUUACUAAUAAUAUUUAAGUGUUGGUUUAAAAUAGUGACAUGAAUAUAAGAGUUGAGACAAUUGCUCGUGAUUUCCAUCCAAGAGCAAGGAAAGUUGUUUUUCUUUUUUUCGUAAAAUAUCUUUUCCAUUUUUAAUGACUUGACUUCUAAAAAUAUUUUACCUCAUAUAAGAUAUGGCUUAAAAUAUUCAAAAAUAGAAAAAAAAAAAAAAAAAAAAAAAAAAAAAAAAAAAAAGUAAAAACAAGAAGUAUCAAAAUAGGAGAAAUAUAUGCUUACUUCGAUAUACAAUGUUGAAUAUAGUCAAAAAUUUGAUUUCCUUGCUCAAAAUCAACCAUAAAAAAUGACAUAUUAUUUUGAGAAAUUUGAUUAAAGCCAUUAAGUUGAUCAGCAGGGAGUGUAGCACAAAUAUAAGCCAAAAGUCCUGUUUACUUUAGAUGCAUUACAGACAUUUCUGCGUCGUCUUCCUUUUGAAAGAAAAGUAGUAGAACUUUUCCUUUUAAUCCACUGGCAAUAGACUUAAUGUCUUCAACUCUGCAAUUGGAAAAAAGCAAGCAUUAAUAUAUAUUUGAAAAAUGCCUUUGCUGAGAAGCUAAAAUCGCUUUACCUCUAAAGUGAAGAAUAGGUCUAUGACAUCCUAUCCUCCUCUGACCUCAUUUUUUGGAUUAUAUAGAGUAUGAUGUUGUUGUGCUUUAAGUAAGAAAUAAUUUAUUUUUAAUUAAUAAACUUUAAAAAGCAUUUUUAAGAAACAAUCGAUGUUUGACCAAUUUUUUCUAAGAGUACCUCUCAGUUGUUUUUGUCCAAAGUGUUUUUCAAAAAUAUAUUUUUGGAGAAAAGUAAUUUUUUUUUUUUAGCCUCUAAAAACAAUUUCUACUUAUCAAUCACCAUAAUAUUUAUUUUCUCCUAAAAAAAAUAACGAAACUCCUCUAUAUUUUUUGAAACAAAGAAUAAACUGUUGUAAAGUGCAUUAACUAGACGAUGCAAUAUACAUUUCACUUACUUCGUUACAUUCGCUAAAGUGACCAAAGGAGCAAAGCCGUGCCCCUUCCCUUUAAUAAGUCCCGAAGCCUACAAUCACUCCAAAGGUGUUAAAAUAUGUACUAGUAUAAAUGAUUAUUUGAAUAACAGUUGAUGCAUUUUGUUAUUAUUUAAUAAUUUUAAAAAUUAACUUUAUACAUAAAAUCGAUUUUUUUUAAAGAAGUAAAAUAAAAUUAAAAUCCCAACCUUUGGAGGUUUGUAUUUUUCAAAAUUAGUUUUCUUAAUUGACUGAAGUUUAUUGACCUUUGAUAUGUGAUCGAUUGGGUCUAUUGGGCAAAAAGAUACUCUGUCAAACCAUAUUUAACAUUUUACCACAAGUUUUAAAACUUUUAAUAAAUAUCAAUUAUUUAGGACACCAUCAAUCUCACUUCCAAAGUAACAACUUCUAGCCUCAAAUUUUUAAUACUGAUAUUUGAUAUGAGGCCAGUUUGUUGUUGAUUAUAUUUAAAAAUGUAACUGCAUUAAGUGAAUUAGCUAGAUAAAUUAUUGACAUAUUUUUCUUCAAAAUGAAGUUUUAAGAAAACAAAAGAAUUUACUCGUAUCGUCUUGUUGUUGCCAAGUGUUAAAGGAGUAACAAUUUCUCUAUUGAAACUGCUACUAGCAACACUUAUCACCCACGGAGAAGUAGCACCAACUGUGUAAGAGGUCGGUCCACUAUUUCCUCCACUAGCAAUAAAAGAUCUACCAUACGAUACUGCAUGAAAAGAUCCUAUCCCAAAUAAUGUAUCCUCAUUAAUGUCAGCAUAAUUGACUGCACCACCACCACCACCAAUAGAUAUUGAUAUUACGUCAACUCCAUCUUUUAUAGCAUCAUCAAUGGCGGCAAGAACAUCGAUAUUACUAAUCAUUUCACCAUUUAUACCGUUCCAGACUACCUGUUUAAAAUAUUAUAAAUAAGUAAAAGAAUUAUAUAGAUUCUCUAACAUCUAAAACUUUUAGAUAAGAGCAUCGGAGCUCAACAAAGAAGGUUUUUGGUUUAACUUUCACUAAUUAUCCAUUAUUUAGAUAUGGGGAUUAUUGAACAUUAUGGGUGUUAGGGUUCUACGGCAGUAAAUUUGAUCAUUGAAUUCAUAAUCGACUAUUUACAUUUAUCAUCGGAAGUUUUUAAACUCAAAUUCAAUAUUCAAGUUAAAAUUAUUGAAUUUAGAUGAAUCCAUAAAAUAUACGCUACAUCCAUCAAUAUAUUAUUUAAAAGCUAAGAAUAUUGAUUUGUUUGGUUAAUAAAAAUGGAUAAAAUCUAGAUGAGUUGAAACUAUGAUUAAAUACAUUUAUAAAAUUACUUUAAACUUUUAAUUGAGAAAGAUAACUACACAACCAAUUCAAAAAUGAUACCUUAUAAAUAGCUAACCGUGCAAGUGGUGCUCCUCCUCGUGUUGUUCCCAUAUUAACACCAUGGUAUUCCACAUUGUUAAUAUAAGAACCAGCAGUUGUAUAUGCAACAUGAGUACCAUGUCCGUCAUCAUCUAUUGGUGAUAAGUCAUUAAAUUUUUUAACAAUUGUUUGAUUUAUUUCGAGAUUUUCCAUUGAUCCUUUUACGUACCAACGAACUCCAAUGACUUUUCGAUUACAAUAUUUUGUUGCAGUAAAAUUGCCUUCAGAUUUGCAGCUACCUUUCCAUCGAGAUGGAAUUGGACCUAGGCCUUCAUCAUUAAAAGCUUUCGAAUCAUCUCCCCAUGCAAUCAAUACCUACAAAAUGUUGCUGUUUUUUUUUUUUUUAAUAUUUAACUUCUAUGCACAAAUCAUGUAAAACAUCAUGAUACUUGAAGAUAAUUUUCUAUAUGAUUGUAAGGAGGAAGAAAUAUUAAUAAUUAACUUAUUAUAACUAGAUAAAGUACAUCAAUAAUGUAAAAAUAUAUUUUUACAAUAUUAUUUGUGCAUAAUAUUUAAAUUCCCUUUUGAUAAGAUCAUUAGUUGUAAGACAUAUUUUAUUUAUUUAAGAAAAAAGAACCAAAAAAUGAAAAAAAGAAAAGAAAAGAAAGGGAGACACUAAACCUGAAUCUAUUAUGCCAAUAAUUAUUCCAUCACCUUGAUUUGUUUUGUUCACAAGACUAUUGGGGUCAUGCUUAGAAAGACCCAAAAAGUCCCAACUCCUUGAGGUAUGAGUCUUGUAAAAUUGAUUUGGUAUAACUUGAACCACAUCAGGUAAUUCUGAAGUAUAAUUACAAUACAUAUAUCAACGAAGAGUCAUAUAAUGAAUAAAAUCUUUAAUUUUUCAUAAAAUUAUUUUAUUUCCUUUUUUUAAUAAUUUUUCUGACUAUUAGUUAAGAUAAUUCAAAUACCUCCAAUUUGUUUGGCUUGAGAAUCAGUAAGCUUAGCAGCGAAGCCAGAGAAACCAUGUCUAUAACUAUACAUCAUCAGUUUUUUAGCUUCUUCCUUGCUGCAUGACAAGAAAAUACGAUUUUAAGUUUUAAAUAAUGAAAUAUAUGAAAUAAUAUUUUCGCAAUUUGUAGGGUCAUUAGAGGUAAAUAUUUCUAUGAUAGGCUUUAAUAAUUUUUUUGGUUAAAAUAGAUUCUACUACAUUUCAUUGGUUAAAUUUAUAAAUUUCAUUGCAGCCACUUGACCUAAAAGUUCAUGAUGUGAAUUGGUAAUAAGUUCAUAAUUAUUGUGAGGUUUGUGUCCCAAGUAAACCACGUAAAACUAUAGAUCAAAAGAAUAUCGUCAAAAAACAAAUUAAUCAAUGAGAGAUUAAUAUUCAUUAUGGUCAAUAAACAAAUAUAAGGAGAUUCUAAGCUAACUUCUUAAAUCACGCAUUCCAAUGGUCCAAAAUACUACUCCCUCUAUUCCACUUUAGUUAUUGUAUUUAUCUAAUUUUAAAGUCUAUUAUGGACAAAUGUGGAUUUUGGUUAAUUAUUAUUUUGACACUUAAUUUCAUUGAGUCAUUUAUUUAUCUCCAUAUUACUAUUUACUUGGCUUCUGCAAUGUUAUUAUGAUGAUUAUUGUGCUUUUGAGGUUGGGUUAAGGGGAUGAUCUUCGAUCUUGGUGGAUUAAAAAUUAUUAUUUAAAUAUAUUUGUUAUUUUAGAAAAUAUUUAAGGAAAUAUUGAUUAUCUUUUGCAUUUAUUUUCUCUCACUUUAUUAAUAUUGAUAGCAUUAUCUGCAUUUUUGCAAGUAAUAUUUUCUCUCAAGAAUAUCUAAAAUGUACCUUAGCAUCGGCAUUAUCUGCUUUUGUUGUUAUUUCACAUAAACACGUAAAAAUUAACAGAAGACAUAAAAUAACAAGGGAAAAAGUUGGGUUAUUCAUCAUUUUUGCUUCCCUCCUUUCAACAGAAAAUAUGAAAGGGAGAAGAUAACCCAACUUCAAAAUCAAAUUUGGUUAAUGAAAUUAGAAAAAUAAUUGCAAUGUAUUAAUCAUUAAAUAGCUUAAACUCACCACACAGAGUAGAAAAAUUAAUUUGUGGCUAGUAUAUUAAGCGUAAAUAGUAGCCACUCACUCGAAUACAAGUAGAUAAAUUAUUCUAUUUUUACUCCUUUAAAAAUGGUAUAUAUAUAUAUAUAUUUUGAAUUUUUUAGAACGUAUACUUUCUAUUUUCAUAUGAGUGAUUAAGAGCAUAAGAAAGGAUUUUGGAGUUCUAAUCACCAUUGUUUUUCCUCAUAAUGGCACUUAGGAUUUAUUUAUAUAUGAAGUUAAAUUUAUGGUCAAGUUGAGCCACGUUUGAGAAAUAGAAAAAGAAAUCUUUUAUAUGUUAUGCUAAGAAAUAUUCUACUUAAAAUUCAACUUAGUUUUUUUUUUUCGGCCAAAAAUAUGAGUUAUUAUUCUUUUUUAUACUAACAAACUAUUUCAAUAACUUUUAUAAAAUAGUAUAUAACUAGUUAUAUUGGAAAGGGUCAAAAUCAUUUACACCCUCGAACUUUGUUGUAAAAAUCAAACACCCCCUCAACUUUGAACAAUAAUCAUUCUCCCUCCUUUUUCUUAUUUGAUUUUUCAAAAUACCUACUUUACCCUUUUAUUUAUAUCAACAUUUGAAUAUUUAAAAACAAUUUUAUUUUUAUAAACACAAUUUUUAUUUUUAAUCUAUAUAACAUAUUUUCUAUAAAAAGCUAAAGGUUAUUUUUUAGAUGAAAAAAUAAAAGUGAGAAAUAUUAAUUGAGUAUAUAAGUUAAUGACAUUCUAUAAUGAAAUAAAUGAGCAAAAUAAUAAAAAUUAAUUUUAUUAAAAGUAAAAAUUCUAAUAUCUAUUUAUACGUGAAAAUAAUAGGUAAUUAUAUUUUUAUAAAUAUAUUUCAAUGCAGGUAAUACAAAUUAAUUAAUAGUCGAGGGUCCUUCGAAAACAACUUAUCUACCUCCCCACGGUAGUGGUAAGGUUUGNNNNNNNNNNNNNNNNNNNNNNNNNNNNNNNNNNNNNNNNNNNNNNNNNNNNNNNNNNNNNNNNNNNNNNNNNNNNNNNNNAAUCAAAAUAUGUAUCUAUAUACAUAAUUAUAUAUACACACAUACACACUUAAUACCUAUAAUAUAAAAAUAUUGAAUGUAAAAAAUACCAUUAGAUUUUGUAAUUAAUUUAUAAAAGAAUUUACUAAUAAUGUAAACAAAUUUAAAUAAAAAUAAUAAAUACAUCGGUUAUGAAAGAUAAAUAUAUAUAAUAUAAAAAAAUAUUAUAUAAACAUAAGUUUAAAAAUAUUAAGGGUAAAAUAGUAUUACAUAGUGAAAAGGGGGGAGAAUGAUUGUUACUCAAUACUAAGGGAGGUGUUUGAUUGAUUUUCACCUCAGUGAAAUCUCCUAAGUGAGGUAUGAGGAGGGUAGAGGUACGCAAACCUUACCACUACCUCAGAGAGGUCGAGAAGUUGUUUUCGAAGGAUCCUCUACUAUUAAUUAAUUUGUAUUACCUGCAUUGAAAUAUAUUUAUAAAAAUAUAAUUACCUAUUAUUUCGUUAUAGAAUGUCAUUAAUUUAUAUACUCAAUUAAUAUUUAUCACUUUUAUUUUUUCAUCUAAAAAAACCUUUUAGCUUUUUAUACAAAAUAUAUUAUAUAGAUUAAAAAAUAAAAAUUGUGUCUAUAAAAAAGUUUUUUUUUAAAAAAAAAUUCAAAAGUUGAUAUAAAUACAAGGGUAAAGUAGGUAUUUUAAAAAAUCAAAUAGAAAAAAGAAGUGAGAAUGAUUAUUAUUAAAAAUUAAGGGGGUGUUUGAUUUUUACAACAAGAUUGGGGGUGUAGAUGAUUUUAACCCUAUUUGGAAAUAUGGGAUCUCAUAAUUAUGAGUUCCUGCACAAUUGCUUAAGUGACCAAAUGGAUCACAACAACAAGAAGAUACCAAUAUAUUCACUUAAAAUGGGAUAUGGGGAGGGUAAUUUAAAAGUGAGAUAAAGAGAUUGUUUUCUAUAAACUUUCAAGUCAAGAAAAAAAAAACAGUACCAAUUUCUUAUAGUUUGGAUGAAGAUAAUAUUAUAUUAUUGAACUCAAAUCAAUACUUUGAAACCAGUACCUACAUGUAUAAUAUAUAUUCAACCUCCUUAAAUUUUAUCUUUUAAUCAUUUGUUAGUUAGUAACCAAAAUAAAAAAAAAUCGUUUCUCAGUUCUUAAUCAAUCUAUAAAACUUGGUGAAAAUUUCAGGAAUUGCCUUUCAAAAUGCAUAAUUCUUCAGCCAAUCACAAGACUUUUUACUUUACAUGCACGACGUUAUUCAUAGUGAGUAUAGCACUUCACAAGGCAAAUUCCAAAAUUAGUCACACAAUAUGUACUUUUUGCCCAACAUGUGUUUGAUUUUCCAAAAGUACAUGGAGGUUUGCGUGAAGAAUAUUUAAGGAAAAAUUUCAAAAAUAACAACUCUGUAGCUUUAAUUAUAACUUUUAUAAUAACAGUUUUAUAAUUACGAAAAAUAGUAAAUUGUAUUUAUAUUUAAGUAAAAUGUUGCUAUAUAAAUACAUAUACAAAUAUGUAUAUGUAUUACUCAUAAAUACAUAUGCAUGACUGAAAAAUACAUAUUCUUCUAUUACUAUGAAGUGGGUAAAAUAUUGCUACUUUUGCUAUAAGUUACAAUUUUGAAGAAGUGUUGCUAUUUAUUGUAAUUAUAGUCUUAAGGAUGCUAGUUUGUGUAAUUUUUUCAAUAUUUAAAGUGGAUUUUUUGAAUAACAUAGUAUUUCUUGUAAAAUUUCUAGCAUAUCUUAUGUAAAUUCUAGGAUAAUCAUCUUGAAGAAAUAUCUAGAUAUUCUAGGUAAUUAUUCUAGAGAGAGGAAUCUUGAAAAUAUAGUCUACUUGAUAUUUGUAUUUAGGAAAGAUCCAGAUCUUCUAGAGUGUUACAUAUUCAUGGAAGAUGAUAGAAUACUCUAGAUUUGUAGUAUCUAGAAUCAUUCCCACACAAGAAUAAAUAGAGGAUGACAUUAGACAUAUGUAACCAACCAAAAAAUAAAAUCAAUUCAAGUGUAGUCUUUUUCAUAUUAAAGUUCUUCCUUCUUUUUUAAAGCUUCCUCUUCUUAGUUGAAUCUUCCGGUCUUAGUUAACGAUCUUGGGCUAGCAAAAGGUCUUUAUAGCUACACCUUUCUUCUGCUAUUCUCUACAUGGUAUCAGAGCCAAACUCACAAAUUGACUUGUGUCUAUUUCAAAAUCGGGUUUGUGGUUGAUUCAACUGAUUUGUGCAAAUGGAUUUUAGCGGUCGCGUUAGUAGGCUGGGAAUGGAGUUGUUGAAUCAGUCCAAUUACAAGGUAUGCAAGACCUUUAUGGAAUCAUACCUUGUGGGCGAGGAUUUGUGGAAUGUUGUUAACGGGAUUAACACAAGUCUUCCGAAUGACAGACCGGAGAAUAGUAGUGCAUACAAGAAAUGGAAGCAGAUUAAUGCAAAGGCGGAGUUCAUUCUAAAGAGCUCCAUCUCCUCUAAUUUAUUCGACCAUAUUAUAAGGUGUACAUUAGCUCAUGAUAUUUGGAGGACCCUCGACUAGUUGUUCAACAAGAAGAAUUAAGCUCGGCUACAGAUAUUGGAAAAUGAAUUGGCUAACACCACUCAAGGUAAUUUUUCUCGUGCCGAGUACUUUUUAAAAAUUAAGAACUUAUGUUCUGAGAUUUCUUUAUUGAAUACAGACGGGACUAUCUUUGAAGCACGAAUGAGAAGAAUUAUCAUUAGUAGUUUGAAACCAGAAUAUAUUCCCUUUGUGACAUCAAUUCAGGGAUGGGCUCAACAACCAUCCCUGGAGGAAUUUGAGAAUUUGUUGUCAUCAAAGGAGUUACUAGCCAAACAAUUGACUUGUGAAUUUGUCAAAGCAAGGGAAGAAAAUAUUCUUGUAUCCGACAAGAAGAACGUUAAAGGAAAAGUAAGAGAUAUGCCUCACACUCAAUUUUCAAAUGGUUUAAGCUCGACUAGAAAGAAGGAAGAGACUUUUAACAAUUAUACUAAGAAGUCUCUCAGAUGUAUCGGUGUGGCAAAGCAGGACAUAUAAGAAGAUGUUGCCGAGUCAUGAAAAGCAACAUGGUUCAUACUGAAAAAAUUGUUGAAGAAUAAGAAGGUUGGGAAAGAUGCUUAGAAGCUGAGAGUCGAGCAAUAAAUGCAUUAUUUUCAUAAUUUUGGAAUGAGAUUGGAUCGGAUAUAAUACAAUGCAUUAUGUGGAGCAGGAAGGCACCUAUAAGAAGUAAGAUGAUAUUAAAUACGUUCAUACUGGAGAUGUGGUAGCUGCUAUCAAUGAAAUCAAAGAAGCAGAUCCUAAAAAUGACAAUAAAAGUCUAAACAUGGAGGAUAUUGAAGUAGACUCUGAGCAGACAAUUUUUGAAACUCUAUAUGCUAGUGAUGACUUUAUCGGAGUAAGCAUUAAGAGAGAUAUAGUUGAAGUCUCUGAUCAAUCAUCUAUGGUAUCAAGAUCAAUUAAUAACUCAAAACAAAUAUUGAAAGUUGAUGAGUAAACUAAAGGUCAAGAAAAAGAAGAAGUUGACCGUGUAGACUCAGAUGGAGAAAUGGAUGAUGAAGAGGUUGAUACUGAUGAAAUUUCUUUGUUCUUUGUAGUUGUAUCUGAAGAAGAGGGUUCUAAAAUAUUGAACCCAAGAUUUUCAGAUUUGUCCAUGAGAAAUGAUUCUUCAAAGAAUAUAGUUGUUAAGGAGUUCAGAGAAAGAGGGAACUCGAAAACUCAACAACAUGAAACUCGACAACGACUAUUUUUUGAGAAACAAUUAACUUUUUAAUAAAAAAAAGACUUCUAUCCCGUCAAGGUACUUUUAAUUUUUUACUUGCUUUAUUAUAGAUCACUGAAUUGAUUCAUCAUUUGUAACAACAAUCAAGAUCCAAUAAUUAAAUAUGGACAAACUGAAAUUCUUGAGGGCAAGGAGACAUACAUAAAAGUGCCUAGAUUCUCCUCAAGAGGCCCUAAUUCCUUUGCUCCAGAAAUUCUAAAGGUAAAUAUAAAAUAAUUAAAAAUUUAUAUCUUCUUUUAAUUUAAUAAUUUCUCUCAUUGAAUCAUUUAUUAUAUUUUUUUAAAGUGUUUUAUAAAUUUUACUUAAAUAUUAUUUCAGCUCGAUAUUGCAGCUUCUGGUGUUAAUAUACUCGCAACAUUUUCUCUUGCUGCUACUGAUGGAGGAUACAAUGAAUUCAAACUCAUGUCAGGAACAUCCAUGUCAGCUCCUCAUGUUGCAGGGAUUGUUGCACUCAUCAAAGCUGCGCAUCCUAGUUGGCUUCUGCUGCUAUUAAGUCUGCACUUAUGACUACAAGUAAUAUCUUAUGAAUUUAAAUUGUAUAUAUUGAUAACAGAAUAUAACUUAUUAUAGUAUAUUAAAUUACCAUAUCAAAUUUGAUAUGAAAAAUUUUCGUUGCUAUUCAUUAAUUUAACAUAAAAGAACACAAAUACUGUCAUUGCAUUGAGAAAAUGAUUUACCUUACAUUUAUUAUUUAUAACUACUUAAAUAUUAUAACAUAUUAGUAUAAGUUAUAACAUGUUGCUUACUACCAAAUUAGACUUAAAUUAGUAUUUCAUGUUGUUAUACAUCAGUUUAAUUAAUCCCAUCAUGCACAAAAGGUUUACACUGUUAUCAUACAUCAAUUAAACUCGUGAGCAAAAUAUAUAGUCUUUCCUUCUUUUCAGCAUUUUUGUUUAUGUAUUUACUGAUUGAAAUUUUCUGUGAACUGUGUAGCAUGGAACGAGGAUACAUAUAGAGCUGAUAUUUUUUCAGAAGGAACUGGAAUAAAACUUGCUGAUCCAUUUGACUUUGGCGGUGGCAUAUGUAAUCCAAAUGGAGCAGCAGAUCCUGACUUAGUCUAUGAUAUGGAUAGAAAUGAUUAUUCGAAUUAUCUUUGCAGUUUGGGCUAUAGUAAUGAUAGGAUUUACAAUGUAACUAUGUAUCAUUCGGACAAGAAAAAUUCUACUUCUUCAGCAGGCAUUGUGUGUCCCAAAGAAGUACCUUCAAGGUUGGAUAUGAAUCUCCGAGAAAUGUUGCUAUUAAAGUAACUCCAAAUGUAUUGAAGUUUAAUGCCAAAACCAAGAGGAUCUCCUUUGAGGUAAAGAUCACAUCUACUUACCAAAGAAGUGGUAAAUUUACCUUUGGAAGUUUGGCAUGGAGUGAUGGCAAACAUUUUGUUAGAAUUCCUAUUGUUGUGAGGAAGCAAGUGGAUAAAUAAAGAAAAUGUACCAACUUAACUUUGGAGGUAUGAGGUGGAGUGAUGACACAUAUCUUGCUGUGUACGGGGGUGGAUCUAGGGGGCUCGGGGUGUUAUCCUGAACCCCUCGACAAAAAAUUACAUUUUGUAUGUAGGGUAACUUUUUAUGUGUAAAUAGAAAUAUCAAAUUCUCUCAACACAAGACUACAUGUUGGUUUAGUGAUUUACGGAAUUAGAAAUUCAAUUUGAGGUUCCCAUUUCAAAUAUCUAAUUAUGCAUUUUUGUUUUCCGAACGUUCUUAAUGAAAAUUCUGAAUCCCGCACCAAAUUUAUGUGUGAGUACUUUUUUAUUUCCACAAGAAAGCAAGUGGAUGUUCAAACAACUUGAAAAAAAUGCAUGAUGAGCCUGCUGUUCAACCCCCCUCCCCCCUUCCCCUACUUCAGUUCGACUUUAACAUAUAUGACUUUCAAUAUUCCAUGUGGGUAGAGAAACCUCACAGUUCCAUGUGUCUACAAGCUCACAUAUAUAAUGAUAAUUCUGGCUCAAACUAUCUGUUAAUCGAGUCAAUAGAAAUAUUAGAUGUAUAUCAUGAAACCUCGUAAUAUAGUAGCAGAGGUAGUCUGAAAAUUUCAUAAUUGCUAUAAUGGAGUGCUGUUAUAUAUACACGUUAUUGUAUAUUGACAUUUAAUGGUUAAAUUUCAUUUAAUUAUUAUAAAGAAAAUUAUGCAAAAAUUAGUUUAAUGAUUGGGUAUCAAGACGAACGAAUAUAUUUGGUCAAUAAUUAAUCUGUGUCAUGGAUAUAAAACACCUAUUAAAAUAUUGAACCAUAUAUAGAAUCAAAUGUAUUUGCCAGGCGGCUUUGAUUUCUCACUUCCAGACACUAAUGUUCAAGUCAAAAAAAAUGAUUAUGUCCAAGGGAAUAGGGAAAACAUUCGAAGAGAUUUGUUCGGAUGGUAAACAUGCUCACUUUUAAUUUUGAGGUAAUGAUCAGUUUGAAGGGACAACAUAAUUUUUAAAUCGUAUCCCAUCAAGAUAAUAGGAAGAUUGCUCAGAUGAUAAGUACCCUCCAUCUUUAAUUUUGAGGUUGACUUAAAAUCACCAAUGAAGCUGUCAAGAUCCUAAAGUUGAGGUCAUGAAUCAUGAAGAUACUCACCGAGACCCAACGCUGAUGAGUAAGUCGAUUCACUAAAGAAAAAAUCAAGAACUGAAAUUAAAGCAAGACAAAUGAGAAUUCUAGAAUGAAAUCAAGGAUAAAUUACACAAAUCCCAUACUUAAGAGAGACUAUAUUACCUAAUAUCUCUUACUUUUUAAAAUAUUUUUAAAAAUUUACAUAAAAUCCCCUUUUUCAACUUUACUUUGAUAUAUAUAUAAAAAAAAGAGUAAAUACAUAAUUACACCACUGAUCUUGUCCGAGAUUUUCGAAAAGACACCUAAACUUUGACAUCAACCUAUUACCCCACGAUUUUUCUUUAUUUCAUUGCAAACGCACCAUUUUUCGCUGAAUCUCAGUCACAACAAAGUGAGUGAAGACACACGCCAAUCAGGUGCUUCCACGUGUCAACUACGUUUAAUUUCAUAUUUUUUUAAUAAAAUUUUUCUUUUUAUUUAAUUUAACACCCCACCCACCCCCUUUUCCCCCCAAUCCAGCACCUCUCCUCUCUCCCCCUGCAUCAACAGCUCCCCUCAACCCCCACCCCAAUUNNNNNNNNNNNNNNNNNNNNNNNNNNNNNNNNNNNNNNNNNNNNNNNNNNNNNNNNNNNNNNNNNNNNNNNNNNNNNNNNNNNNNNNNGUUUUUUUUUUUUAAAAAAAAAAGCUUCAAUGGAGGAGCUUUAAUGGUGACAUUGUGUUGAAGAGCUUUAAUGGUGUUGAAGAAGACAUUGUGUUGAGAAAGAAAUGGUGGGUAGUUAAAUGAUAUGAUUUAAUUGUAAAAUAGAGCUUUAAUGAAUGAUUUCAAAAAAAAAAAAAAAACUUCAAUGGAAGCUUUAAUGGUGAAUUGAGUUGGAGAAGAAAGAGUGGGUGGGUUGGGGGGAGAGGGGUAGGGAUAAUUUUAUAAAAUAAAUAGAUAUUAUUUAAAAAAAAAUAUAAAUUAUAUAUCAAUUAUUUUACACGUGGCAGAUUUUGAUUGGUCCAAAAAGUCAAAUUCGAUCCCUUUCAAGCGCCUGUGGCGCGUGUAUAUACGCAGAGGAUCAAAAUGAUGUGUUUGCAACGGAUUAAGUAAGAAUCGUGGGGUAAUAAGUCGAAUUCAAAGUUUAGGUGUCUUUUUUGAAAAUCUCGGCCAACAUUAGUGGGUAAUUAUGUAUUUACUCUAUAAAAAAUCCCAUAUCCUAUUUAUACUCCACCAUUAACUUAUUCAAGAUUUCCUCCCCUAAAAUAUCUCCCUAAUUAUCAACAAUUAAAUCAUCUUCCUUCAUGAUUUUUUCUCUUCCAUUGAUGCUUAAAUAAUCUUCCUUCCUGAUUUUUUCUCCUCCAUUAAUGUGUGCAACUUUUUUUUUCUCUCCUAAAAUCUCUCCCAUCUUUUUUAAAAAAAAUCUAUUGAUACAUAUAUAAAUCUAUUUAGUUAUUCAUACAUGUUUAUUUUUUUAAUGGUGAUUCAUAUGAAUGAUAAAUAUGAUAUCAUUAUAUAGGUAUUAUGGUGAAUCAUACGAUAGAUACAUUUUGUAUGAUUUUAAUGGGUGAUACAUAUUGUAUUAUGGUGAUUCAUAUGGUAGAUACAAUUAUUUAUUUUAAUUAUUGGGUGAUUCAUAUGGUAUUAAUGGGUGAUAUAUAUGGUAUUAUGGUGAUUCCUAUGGGUGAUACAUAUUGUAUUAUGGUGAUUCAUAUGAUAGAUACAAUUAUUUAUUUCAAUUAUUGGGUAAUUCAUAUAUAUGAUAUUAUGGUGAUUCAUAUGGUAGAUAAAAUUAUUUAUUUUAAUUAUUAGGUGAUUCAUAUGAUAUUAAUGGGUGAUAUAUAUGGUGUUAUGGGUGAUUCAUAUGUUAUUAAUGAAAGGUAAUGGUGUAGUCAGUGUAGGAAACAAAAGUAACAAUAUUUUUUUAAAAAAAGACUAAAAGCAGAAUUGAAACAUAAUUAAAAUUAUAUCUAAAAAAGUAGACUAAAAUUAAAGACGAAAAAAAAGAGAAAAAAGACCCCAAAAAUAUAUCUUUCAUAAUUAAAGACGAAAAAAGAGAAACAUAAUUAAAACACCCAAAUUAAAUUUAAAAAAACAACAGAAAAAUUAGAUAACUUUUCUUAAAUAAAAGAAUACAAUGAAUAAAAGAGAAUCUAUUAUUUUCUUAAAUAAAUAUCUUGUUAAUUUAAAAUGUAUCACUUUUUUAUAUGUAUCCCCAUAUAACACAUGUAUCACAUUUCAAAAAAUCGAGAUAAAAUGUGAUUAACAAAAUAGUCAGGAUUUUAUGUAAUAGCACUUAAAGAUUCAGGAAUUUAUGUAAGUUACCCAUCAAGUAAACCCAUAUACCUAAAACUGAAGUCUGAAUGAUAUACAUAAAUCCUCCAACAUCUAGUGUCAUAAGUGUAGAGCAUCUAAAUACAAUUCAGGAAAUAUAGAAAAUAUUAUAUCUGCUUCUGAAAAUGAGAAAAGAUAUCUAGAUAGAUAAGAAGAGGUUAGGAGUCAACUCUGAAAUCCUAGAGCAUGCCAGUACCUCUACCACUAACUCUAAUAAGCACGAACUCGGCUACUGCACCUCAUACUUGUUGAUACAAGUAUGAUCAUGAUCAUGACACUUUUGAGUAUUUUUGAAGACUAGUCACUAAAGGGCUCUUUUGUCAUUUCUCUGUUAUUUGUAAUGUUGUAUAAAUAGAACCUUGUAGGGUUUAUUUUCUUAGUUUAUGUUUGAGAUUGUAAGAACACUCCUUUUGUGAGAGAGAACUCCAAAACCGAAAUUAGGGCAUAGCAUAGGCCUCAGUUAAGUGCCGAGUUUGGCGUAGUAUUCAUUUACACUUCAGGUCCUCAUGUUUUAACCCUUUAGUGAACUCUCCUUAUGAAAUGAUGUAGUGAUAAACGAUUGCUUAGAUGGAAUAGAGUAAAUAUUUCAUGAUAAGGAAAGAUUUUUUUUGCAUGCUUAUUUUACACGAGGCUGUGGUUAUGAAAAUAGGCUUGAAUAUCAGGUUAGUGUGCUAAGUAAAUGGCAAGCAAGAAGUUGUAUUUAGUUGUUGAAGGGAGAGAAAUCAAAAUUUUUCUUGAGAUGAUAAGUUGAGAAAAUGCCGAGUGUGAGUGUCUAUUCUGAUCCUCAAUUUAUGUCAGUAUCUAUCACGCAGUUAUCAUAACCUAGUAUUCAGUUCCACUACAGUCUCAGUUACCUUCAUAGUUACAACCUCAGUCCCAGUCUUAGUUCAGUAAUCAGAUCAGUAACUCAGUUCAGUUUCAAGUUUGCUUGACCAUAGCGUACAGUUAUCAACUAUUCAGUUAUCAGUAUUUCUGUAACACCCCACAUUUUGGACUAGAAUGAAAAUCCAUCAUUCAUAUACGCAGAUGUUCCAAAAGCCUCGAAUCCUAUGUAAAUUUAGUGUGUUAAUCAAUUAUGUAGUGUGGGAAUCUAUUUGAGCAUGAAUUAAGAUCAUAGAGGUCCCCUAACUCAAGGACAAGUUGAAAGCUUUCCUAUCGUUCAAGUUUUAGUGAGCAUCAAAACUUGGAUCAACAUCAAUCGACUAUAAAUCCUUGUAUAUAUUAAAUUAGAGGACCUACUAUAUAUCAAAUAAAAGCUCUUUGAAUUAUCUUUCCAAUGAUACCAAUUUUUCCCAAAUCCGAUAUCGGCGCAAAGAGUUAUGCCCAUUUUACUCCAGCAUGUUAGGCUGGGAAAUGGAGUGAUGACAUUCGUGAUAAGUUAUCACAAGCGUGACGACUUAUCACCAAUGUCGUCAGCCUUAGGCAGAUUUCCACCCCCAGUGAAGAUAUUUUGUGAUAAUUUAUCACGAGUGUGAUGACUUAUCACCAAUGUCAUCAACCUUAAGCAGAAAAUCACAAAUUUCACCCUUUUGUGACGAUAUUUCGUGACGACUUAUCACCAGUCUGAUGACUUGUCAUGAAUGUCGUCAGCUAUUUUUUUCAUCAAUUAAGGGACAUUUUUGCAAGGGUAUUUUGGUCUUUUCCCAUCUUUUGGAGGCCUCUAUAAAUAUGAGAAUUCCCAUCCAAACCCUAAUUUCUUCAUUUUCUCUUCCAAUUCUCUUAAGAGAAUAUAUCUAGGAUUUUAUUCAAGAAUAUUAAUCUUUCAAAAAUCAUCCAUAAAUCUUCAAGAUUUCUUUAAGAACUCAAGAAUUCCUCCGUCAAGUUUCUCCAAAUCAAGAAACUAAGGUAUGCAAAUGUUCAUUUUGGGUCCCUUCCACCCAAGAAGUUCAAAAAUCUCUUUUUAAAGUUCCAAGAUUAUAUUUUUAUGAAUUCUCAUGAGUUAUGUGGUUUGAAGAUGAUUUUCAUGUUGAUAUUGGGUUUUCGUUCAUGUUUUGAUCAUAAAAAUGCAAGUAUUGACUUUAGUGUGUGUGGAUUAUGUGAUGUUCAUGACAAGGUCCCUUCAAGAAGCAUGUUGAAUUAUGUAGGCAUGUUAAUUAUGGGUAAUGAAUUGUUGUAUGACCAAAUUGUGCCUCACAUGUGUAUGCUAGAAUGCUUAUAUGAAGAAAAUAGUACCAUUGUAGUAUACUAAGUAUAAAAUCCCCAAUGUGGUGACAAAUAAAGCAUGCCAAGUGUUUGUUGUUUUGCCAAGAUGAGUGAAGUAUGAUAUGUUGCAUGUACUCCCUAUUCAUGUGUCCUUGUGGAAUAAUUUAUGAGACAAUAGCAUGCCUCUAUAUACAAUCUACAUGGUUGAAUGUUCCCAAGUGCUUGAAGUGAUACGUCCUUGAUCAUGUUCCAAAUUAUAGACUAUUGUUAUGACAUUGGUGGUGAUAGAUUAUUGUUAUGAUGUGAUGUUGGUCAUAUAUUCAAGAGUCAAGUCCUGUCAUUUUACUUCCAUAGAGUCCUGGGGGUACUUAUACCCAAAAUAUAGCUGUGUGCCUAGAGCCAAGUCAGUCUCACGAUAAUCUUUGUCGUGCUAUGAUCAGUAGAACUCAGUCAAUGACUGAACAGUAAGAAAACUCAGUAAUCUCAGUAUUCAAGUUAAUCAAGUUUAGUACACAGUCCAGACCCUAGUAGUGUUCAGUAUUCAGUACAGGUUCUAGUAAAGCUCAGUAAGUUACAAAACUCAGUUGUAUUCAGACAGAAAGUAGAAUUUAGAAGUAUUUCGUCAGAGCACGGAACCAAGCCAACUCAUUUAGAUCAGUCAAGUAAGAUAAUCAAUAACAAUAUUUAACUUAGUCUAAGUUCAGUUAAGAAUCAGUUCAGAGUUUUUCAGUUGGAAGUAGGAGCUAGCACCGAGCGAGUGCAGGAUGGUGGCUUCUCCGUUAGAGAGAUGGAGUCGUUAGCAGCAAUCCCUGUACUCCAGAACUACGUAGCCAGCGCAGGAUGAGGAUUCACCCAUUAGAUAAAGGCUUUACUACCUGCAGGAGUACUCAUAGCCUUAGGCUUGACUUCCUCUUGAGGGUCACCCAUUAGAGAGGCUUGACCAGAGAGGUCUUUACCCAUGGCACGGUAUUGAAAUCCUUCCAGUUGGGGUUACAGGUUGGACUCCACCAAAUUUGGGGCAUUUCAUUUAAGCGAGAACUCCCAUAGUUGUAGUUUCAGUAUUAGUCUUCAGAGUAGAACUCAGAAAUCAGGACUGUCAGAUACAGUCAUCUAUCUCAGUAAGGAACUUAGAUAAUUUCACUGAUUCAUGGACUACCCGUUAGAUAGGCCUGGUCUCACAUAAAGUUAUUUAGUGUCAGUACUUACAAAGAUCACCCGUUAGAUAGGCUUAUCUCAGUCUCAGAUUCAGUUGAGUAUUCUCAUUACCAGUCCCAGAGAUCACCCGUUAGAUAGGUCUAAUCUCAAGUUCAGUUAAUGUUAAUCAUUAUCAGAAGAUUCAGAGAUCACCCGCUAGGUAGGCUUGAUCUCAAAUUCAGAUUCUUAUCUUUCCUUAUCAUUAUUAGAAGACAUAGAGAUUAUCCACUAGAUAGGUUUGAUCUCAGAUUUAGCUAGUCAAUAUCAGCAAGCUCAGAACUCAGUUGUCGAUAUUAGUUGAUUCAGCUCUUCAGUAUUCUAGAGCUAGCAAACUUAAAUAUCAAUUAUCAGUAGACUCAUCCAUCUAGUUCUUAGUAUUAAUAAGUACAGAUAUCAGUUUCAGUAGCUUUAGAUACUCAAAAUCUCAGUAUGUUCAGAGAUUUCAGAAUUAACAGUAUAUUCAAUAUCAGUUAUCAUAUUUAGUCCUAGUAUGCUCAGUGUCAGUAUGUGCGGUAUGUUCAGUAGUUCCAGAUUCUCUAUGUAUGCUAAUCCAGCUCUUACAUAUCAUUUAAUUAAGUAAUUAUGCAUGCAUAAGCCCUUAUAUUUAGCCUUACCUCAUUUACAUACUCAGUACAAUCCAAUAUACUGACAUAUUUGCACUAUGGUGUUGCUAUUUUACCUUCACCAUAGGUUCAGGAGCACGAGAUCCAGAGUACCCUUAGCAGUUCCAGACUCAGUCAGCAGCAGUAGACGUAUUAGUGAGUCCUCAUCUUUUGAGGACGAUUAUCAUUUCAGUACUUUAUUUUAUUAGACGGGGUUAGUUGGGGACAUGUCCCAUCAACUCUGUAGUUUAGACAGUUAGAGGCUUUUCGGACAGAUGUAUAAGUUUUCAGUUUAAAGACUUUGAUCAUUUCAUAUGUUUUGAACUUUAUGGCAAGUUUUCGCCAGUUUUCCGCAUGUAUUUUAUAAUAUUAUACAGUGACCAGGUACAAAUAUCAAAAGAGGGUUAGCUUAUGGUCCUUUGGGAUCAUGAGCACCGUGUGGCGUUCCGGUUAUACCAAAAUUGGGGUGUUACAAUUUCAGUACUUCAGAUUACUAAUUAUUUUAGAAUCAAGUUAUACGUUUUGUCUUGCAUUCUUAGAUAAUACAGAGUUCAUGAAUUCAUGCUCAGUUAUCUCAUGUUACUCAGACAGUCCUUACCUCAUACGUAUAAUACUCUAUAGUUUCAGUCCAGUUAUUCAGACUAAGUACGGUUCAGUCUUACAUGCCCUGUAUUCAGCUAUCAGCCUUUCAGUUAAUCAGAUAAGUUAGUAUGCUUAUGCAUUUGUGCUCAACGCCCAUGUGAAUGUUUCAGUAGUCUCAGGUGAAGCGUCGUACUUGGGUCGAGAGUAUAGUAUAGUUGAGAGAGUAUUCGAGGAAUAUAUCUAAGCUUGAAAAUUAUUAGUUGCAGUGUAUGAGGCUUAGUAACUCCAUAUUAGAUGAUAUUCUGUAGGCCUUGCUCUAUAUUAUAGAAUUGUAGCCAUGUAGUGAUUUCUUAUUCAGAUGUUUUAUUCAGACUAUGCCAAGAUUUCCUUGCUCCCUAAAGUUAGUAGAAAUCUAUAGAAAGGGUGUCAAGAAUUGCUACAGUUUAGUAUAAGUUUUCAGUAUGAGUAGUCUGUGUCACACCCCUUUUUUAAAUCCCAAAAGAUUUUAUUUUUAAGGUUCGAAAGGGUUUUUAUUAUCAAAGUUACAAAAGAUGAAAAUUUAUUUAGAAAAGGACCUUUUAUAUUCAAAACUCAGAGUCGCCACUUGGAAUAAUUCGGUGUGCCAAGGUACCUUUGAAAAAUCCUUUUCAAAACGUUUUGACUCUUUAAAACUGGUUUGCGAACAGAAAUUUCGGUUAAGGAAUUCUAUUGACCGAGGGAAAGGUGUUAGGCACUCCUCGAUCCCGUGGUUCGACCACAGUCUCUUGGUGGAGCGUAUCGGCUAAUUUGACAUUACAAAUGUAUAAACCGCACAAAACACAUAAAACAAUCAACUAAACACACGAAACAAAACAAAUCCAAAAUAUAAUGUUCAGUCCAAUUAUACAGUCCAAAAAUAAGAAAAAUGGAAAAAUAAAUCCUAUUGUAACCUCACUAGUACUAAACUAUGCUCCGAUGAUUUACUCCAUCCGAUGUUUCGGGUCUUGACCGUGCGCCGUCUUCAAGUACAACUUUCUCAGGGCAUUCCCCGGAUAAAGCAAUACAGAUACCUCGGGGUAUUCCCUGGUCAAAUGAGUACAUUUUUUCAAUUGUGAUAAAAAAAAUCCAUUCAACACAUAUUUCAAACAUUUCACUAAUUUCGCAAUCCCUAAGUGUGCCUACCCCUAUCGUUUGCCUAACAAUUCAUGGUCUAAAGCAUGAUACUAUCAAACUUAACAAAGUCGACGUUUAUUCCGAAUCUAGCAAUCGUUACUAAACCAAAAUAAAUCAAUAUUCACUUUUAACAAUUUUUGAUCUUUUUUCCCAAAAUCCAACUUAACCCUAAAUCAACUACGUGAUAAACAUACUUCACACCAGGAUUAACAAUCAAAUAACUACGAGCAAAAUCACCUCAAUUAAAUUCAACCAAAAAUCACACCAUUCAAAAACAUACACAAAAGAGGAGAUAAGAGAUAUAGAAUUGGACCUCAAUCGCUCAUUUUAUUCCAAAAUCAGUGAUGGAUUAGAAUUCACGGGUAACAGAACCUCGACUCAACUGGAACCUCAACGUCGAACCCGCAACUUGAACAAAUACCAAAGAGCACAACCCAACUCAAGUUUUUUGACUAAAAAUCUGUAAACAUCGUCAAUCCAAAAUGGACUACUAGGAACCAAACGAGACAACAGUAUCUAAAACCUGAACCCAUUCCAACGCUGAACCUUUUUUUGAACCAAUUUUUGAAGAAGAAUCUGGAGUCAUUUUUUUUCAUCUAUUUUCGGCGGGUAACGUUAGUGAUCCUCAGUUUUUGGUUGGAAAAAGGGAAACGAUAGAGAGCUGGUGGAUUUUUCGAUGGGGGGAAAUAAAUUUCGGCAAUAAUCUCGCUAGAAAAUUCAAAAUAUUAGCCUUUUCCGGUGACUUCCCCACUCCAUUUCCCUUUUCUCGUCUCUCUGUCUCCGAUCUACCUAUCAAUCGCCCAAUCUCUACUCUAAUUCCUCAACCCUCGAUUUCUCUCUCUGCUUGUAAUCCUCACACUCUCGAUCUCACUAUUCCUCUUUUGAUUCACCUCGCGUCUCACUAUUUUUCACCAUUUAUGUGUGAUUUGGGUAUGGAUGUGUAUGUAUGUGGCUGUGCUUGAGAGGGGAAUUGCGAGUUGGUGCGUGGUUUUUGUGUAUUAUCGAUCUAAGAAGAGAAAAAGAAAAAUAGAUCCCCCCUGGUAUGCCUGAUCUCUGAGGUAUAUGGUGUAUGUAGUAUAUGUGAGAUGGUGUUCUGUGGGUUGGAAGAAGAAGAACUAUUGUGUGUAUAUCUCUUGUGAAAAAAAUCCCCAAAAUACAUGGGGCCCUUUCCUUUUUAUUGUUAGUGUAUUGAACAUAUUAGGAAUAUUCUCCCGUGGGGCCCACUUUUUUUUUGUUUUCUUUUCAAAAUGGUUUCAAAUUGGAUAAAAAAACGUAAGGGAUAGGGAAAUUGGGGUGUGACGUGUCCUAAUUUCAUAGGAUACGGUUGUUAGGAUAAGGUGUAAAGUUGGUUUGGAUAAGGUUGUUAAUUUGUUAGGGAGUUUGUUAUUUUUGUAUUUUUGUGGGGUAUGAUCACAUGGAUGAGGACACGUGGUAAGGUGAGCUAAAAAUGGAUAAAAUCAACGUCGAGAGGGACAAAAUUAGGUGUCUACAGCUUGCCCCCUUUGAAUGUAAACAUGAAGUGUUUUUAGACAAAGAAGUAGACAACGAGACAAAAUUUUGUCCCGACCAUUAUUCAAAAAGAAUGAAACAGAAGGAAGGAGGGAAACCAAUUCUUGACAUUGGACGUCAUAUUAAUCCCUAGUUAUGAGGGAAUUAAGUCACAUAUAUCCCUAAGGACUGAAAGAAGAGGGGCUAUACCGAGUUGGAGAGUCGAGCGAGGUUCUGGUCCGCAGCUCUGUUAUUACAUCAAAAAUAAAAAUUAUAAGUUAAAACAAAAUUAAAAUUAUAAAAAUCCUAUCUAUGCAGCUUCUUUUGGACUCUUGACUUGAGUUUCAUUACCCUAUUCUUCAGGCGGGCUCCUGACUUGCAAUUUCUUCAACUUGUUGUUUGGCUUUCAAUUUCUUCAACUUGUUGUUUGACUUUCAACUUCUUCGCCUUGUUGUUUGACUUUCAACUUCUUGACCUUGUUGCUUGACUUUUAAUCUCUUAACCUUGUUACUUGACUUUCAAUUUCAUUACCCUAUUCUUCAGGCGGGCUCCUGACUUUCAAUUUUAUCACCCUAUACUUCAGAUGGGAUCCUGAUACCAAAAUCAAAGCUAAAAUGAAAAUUAUCCCAAACAAAUAUUAUGAUAAAAAAAGGUUUCAUUUUUUGAAAGUAUGGUCCUAUUUUCCAGGAGGCUCCUGAACAGAAAGUAAAAUCUCAUUUUCUAGGAGGGUCCUGAACAUAAAGUGAAUCCCAUUUUUCAGGAGGGUCCUGAACAGAAAGUAAAAUCCUAUUUUUCAGGAGGGUCCUGAACAGAAAGUAAAAUCCCAUUUUGCAGGAGGGUCUUGAAUAGAAAGUAAAAUCUCAUUUUGCUGGAGGGUCCUGAACAGAAAGUAAAAUCCCAUUUUGCAAGAUGGUCCUGAACAGAAAGUAAAGUCCCAUUUUUCAGGUGGGUCCUGAACAGAAAGUAAAGUCCCAUUUUCCAGGUGGGUCCUGAACAGAAAGUAAGAUCCCAUUUUCUAGGAGUGUCCUGAAAAAAAAAUCCCAUUUUCCAAGAGAGUCCUAAGCAGAAAGUAAAUUCCUAUUUUCCAGAAAGGUCCUGAACAGAAAGUAAAAUCCUAUUUUCUAGGAGGGUCCUGAACAGAAAGUAAAAUUCCAUUUUUCAGGAGGGUCCUGAACAUAAAGUAAAUCCCAUUUCCAGGAGGGUCCUGAAUAUAAAUUAAAAUCUCAUUUCGCAGGAGGGUCCUGAACAUAAAGUAAAUCCCAUUUCCAGGAGGGUCCUGAACAUAAAGUAAAAUCCCACUAUCUAGGAGGGUCCUGAACAGAAAGUAAAAUCCCAUUUUUCAGGAUUGUCCUGAACAGAAAGUAAAAUCCUAUUGUCCAGGAGGGUUCUGAACAGAAAGUAAAAUCCCAUUUUCCAGGAGGGUCCUGAACAGAAAGUAAAAUCCCAUUUUUCAGGAGGAUUCUGAACAUAAAGUAAAAUCCCAUUUUCCACGAGGGUCCUGAAUAGAAAGUAAAGUUCCAUUUUUCAGGAGGGUCCUGAACAAUAAGUAAAAGCCCACGAAAGUGCUUUUCCAAUGGUCGCUAAAUUAAGUGAAUCGAAUUUGUCCCCAUUUCAACAAAGAAAAUUUAUCAGUUAAAAACUUAGUGAUGGUUUGCAACACUUGGAUUUCCUGACACCUGCUCCAAUGUCCAUUCCCUUCAUUUUGUUUCAUAUUGCUGGCACUUUCCCCUACUUUAUCGUGUCAUUCACCCAAACACAGAUUAAGGGAAAUGACUCUAAAAUAAACAUAGUAUCUUUGCUUUGCCAUGCUCCUCAGAUAAACCCUUUGAACCUCGGUAUUUUCAUGAGUUCCCAGACUUGUCUAUUGACAAAACUUUCUGCAUGCCUUGUUUUGACUUGCAAUCUUAUUUCUUUUUUGUGCUGGCCCUUGGUUUUGCUUUGUGUAAUUGAAGAAGCUGGUAGACAGUUUUAAAAUCUUUUCUCACUUGUUUUGACAUGGACUUGACUCAAAGACAAGAGAAAAAUGACAACAAAUUUUAUUUUAUUUGGAUAACUGAUUCAAGAAAGAUAAAACAAAAAUAAAGAGAAGAAAGAAAAGAUAAUGAAUGACCCUUUUUGAAACAAAAAAACAAAGAUUUAUCUAAAAAUGACAAUCAACUCUAAUGAUCAUUCCAUGCAUUUUGGAUCAAACUGCCUAAUCAUUCUAUCCAAACUUUCUGCCGAAUGUUGUUAAGUUAACGACCUCGAAAUUGAGUUGCCUCCUUAGGUCAAUUGUAUUUAAGACCUCAUUCGAUUAAUGACGCCUUAAAGGGUUUUUGCCAACAAGCCUCUCUCAUUUUUUUUUCCUAGCUCACCAUUUUCUUAUGGUGUCCGUGGGGUUUUCACCAAUAAGACUCUCUUAUUUUUAUCUCUCUCAGCUUACCAUGAGGGUUUUCACUGGUAAGACUCUCUCAUUUUAUUUCUCUCUUGAUUCCUUAUGUUGGGGAAGACAAGUAGUUCCCUAAAUGCAUCCUCAUAUCUAUUGCAUGCUUAGCCUUAAUAUCCUCAAAGAUUGAUCUGAAGGUCUUUCUUUGGUUGUAACUCGACUUUUGGAUAGGGUUAGAAAGAAAGGAUGGCAUGGGGCCCAAACGACACUUGAUGUGGGAUAGAACUUACAACUUUUGGAAUCGACUCAAACAAUGAGGAUUAACUCAUUCCCCAGUUUUUUUUGACUGGGCAAUUCUAAAUUGUUUAUUUGGUUGGACCGAGCCUAAGAUAGGGCAGCCUACGUAUCUCACCUUCGAGAGAGGAGAAUCAGGCCAUGGUAGUUCUGGCAACUUGUUUUGCUUGAUUCUAAUUUAUUUUUCUUCUAUGUUUCUUUUAUUGACUCUUUCUCUUUUGGAAUUUUCUGACUCUAUUUAUCUUGACACUCUUUUUUUUUCUUUUUGGACACAUUUUUUUUUCUCUUCUUCUUUUUGAAGACUUUUCUGACUCUAGUCUUUUACUCGACACUUUUCUUUUGAGCUUUGUUGAAUCUAUCUUGAUUCCAAAAGAGGGGUAUGAAAGAAAAUAAUACUAAAGCUCAAGUGGGGUAAACAAAGGAUGACAUAAUAUUUAGAUAGCAGAAUGAAAUGCCUUCAUCAUAUCAAUCCCUGAAAAUGCAAGUACAUAUCAUGCAAUAUGAAAUAAAAAAUGAAGAUCAUUUGUGAUACUUUAACAACACUAACUUUAACUGAGUAUGUGUGCCACUUCUUUUUCUAAACUUGUCAAACUUACAAACUCCACCUUUGUUGUAUAUCCAUCACCUUGAAUGAUUCAUGCCUUCGUGGAGUUGAUUUUCUUUCUGUUCCUUUUGAUAGGAUCACGCAGACACUGUUUGACCUAAUUAAGACAUGUCUUUCAAUUGAUGACCAAGUUAUCCUUGUGAUUCUCAAAAUAAAAGUCUAAAUUUUCAAAGAAGGCUUCAACUUGAUCACCAAAUUCCCUAACACUCUAUCUAUUUUCUCAGAUGCUCUAUUUUCCUAACUUUAACUCUCUGAUUCAAUGCUUCAUAAUUAAGCUGGAUUUUAAGAUCUGACUGAAAAUUCUACAAAUAUGUCAUAUCACUAGAAUCAACAUAAAAUGUACUAUAUAGAGAAAACAAACAAACAACACAUAUUUGAAACAUAAAAGGAAAGGGACACUUCAGUUAGUCGAAAUGAAAGAUAAAAAGGUUUGAACAUAAAUGAAAAAGGGACAAAAUAAGAUAGAUCCCGCACUACAACCCUGAAAUACUUCAGAAAAUAGAAAAGAAAAUAAAACAAACUACCAGAUCUUUUCCUAGUAGGGAGAGAGGUGACUUCUCAAUUGCUCAGCCUGACAAUUUAGCCACUGGUUUGCAUAUAAACAUGACUAGAGCUUCCCUCACUGUCAAUGUUCUGUACCAUAAUUGAUCCAUCUUGAAUCAUUUUUUCAAUUUCCCUUUUCAAAUCUUGACAAUCUUUAAUACUAUGACCCUGAGCACCAGAAUGAUACGCACAUCGUACAUUAGGGUCAAAAUUUCUUGAAUGUCGAUUAAGAGUGCACCCAAGGAGAGGAGUGAUCAUGUCCCAUUAUACCAAUCUCUAAAAUAAAUUGGCAUACGGCUCUCCAAUUAGUGUAAAGCUAUCUCUCAACUUCUGCCUCAUUUCAUCGUUUGGCUUGGAUCGAAAAUCAGGCUUAGAAGGGUUUUGGUAUAUUUGUGGAGUUAGAGGAUGACUCUGAGGAGUUGAUGUGUUCCACUAUGGGUAAGAUGGGGGUCGAACAUGUGGUUGUGCAUUAUACACUGGAUAUGGAUGUGGAGGAACAGAGUAUAAUGACUUUUGGGAGUGAUUAUGUAAAGCUUGGGAAUGAACUUGGGUUUGAGCCUGAGAGUGACGAUGACGAGGUCUUCUUGACCUUUUUUGCUGUCCAACUACAGUAGCAGAUGCAUCUUCCCCAUUCUUUUUCUCCCCAACACUUUUUGAACCCUUUUGAAUUGCUUGAGUAGUCGCUUUCAAUAUUGCAAAACUCACAAUACGACCAGUCUUAAUUCCCUCUUCUAUCAUCUUCCCCAUUUUAAGGACCUCAAUGAACGGCUUGCCUAAUGCAGGUAGCAAGUGUUGAUAAUAUGUUUUGUCCUGUGCCUGAAUAAAUACUUCCACUAUUUUGCUUUCUUUCAUUGGUGGUUUUACUCUAGCAGCUUGUUCGCACCAUCUGAUCGCAUACUCCCUGAAACUCUUAGUAUUCUUCUUUUUUAUACUAGUUAGGGAUUUUUCGUCAAGGAUCAGCUCCACAUUGUAUUGUAAUUUUUUCAUAAAUUCAUUAGCUAGGCCAUCCCAAAUAAUCCACUUGUCAAUGUCUUGGUCAACAAACCAUUCUGAAGCUAGGCCUAAAAGACUCUCAUCGAAAUAUGCCAUGAGUAAUUCUUCCUUCCCUCCAGCGCCCCUUAGCUGGUUGCAAUAGCAUCUCAAAUAUGCUACAGGAUCGCCAUGUCUAUCAUACGUCUCAAGCUUCAGUAUUUUAAAACCAAGAGGAAGAUAUACACCUGGAAACAUGCACAGAUCUUUAUAUGAGACACUUUUGUACCCCCCAAGUCCUUGCAAGUUAUUCAUAGUCAGUUCUAAACUUCUUAAUUUCUUGGCCAUUUCCUUUUGUUCUUCUGCAUAACAGGCUUCUUAGUGUAAGAAGAAAAUUCAUAAGGUUAAGUGCAGUCGUAAGGACCAGUCGACUUAAAUGUGGACUUGGGAGCAUAAUGCUGAUCACUAAAAUAUUCAAUACAGGGUCGCUUGUAGAGUGAGGAAUCACAACCUUUGGAUUGACAUUAAAAGUAGGAGCUUCAGACGAGAGUGGGACUGCAAAAGCAUGAAUAGCAGGCGGAGCCGAGCAUGUGGUAAUUUUGUAUUGAAGAGCGAGCAAAUGAAUAUUAGAAGUGUUUGGAUACUGUUUCCCCGGAGUAGGUCCUGAUGUAUGUUGUGGCGUGUCGACCAAAAUAGGGAAUUGUGCAUGUGACACUGGAGGCAAACUAGAAAGAUAUUCCAGAUUAUCAGUGGGAAAUGGAGAAGCCGGCUACCCAUUAGCCCAAGCUUGAUGCAUUUCUAUCAUUUGCUGCCUUAAUUUCCGAAUCUCUUCAUUAGCUCCUACAACCUUAAUUUCCGAAUCUCAUCAUUAGCUCCUACAUUCUCAUUCCACGAACUCCCUAUCUGAUUAGUGACAACUAACUCAGUAUCCUUGUUGGCCAUAACUUUCUCUGUGAGUUGGAGCAAUAUGGAGGACCAGCUAAAAUGCGACAAACCAACCACCUUAAACUAACUGGACAAGAGAUAGAAAAUGCGUUAGAGUUCAACAAUUUUUCAAAACCUCUUUUUUUUUUCUUGAAAAGAUCACCGAACCCUAAAAGGGCGCCUACGUAUCUCGCCCCAAAAAGGGGAGAAUCGGGUGUGCGUAGUUCGUGAAGUCUUGCUAAAAUGACUAAUUAAACUCUUUUUCUUUUUAUUUUUCUUGAAAUUUUAAGAAGAAAAGAAAAAUAACAAAUUGUCAAAAGAAUAGACGAAAAUCUUUUUGAAUUUUUUAGCUUCCUAUACCAAAUGAAACUUAUGAUUACCAAAGAAAAAUCUUUUUGGAUUUUCGACUUUGAAUUUCAUAUGAAAAUGAAACUUGAACCUAUUAAAGAAAAAUUUGUUUAGUGUUUUUCUUUUAAAGGUGUAUAUGAAACACCUACUCUAAGUGAAGAGUGAAGAAAAUCUUUUUGGAUUUUUAUGAAAUAAGAUCCCCAAACCAACAAUAGGUUGCCUACGUAUCUCACUCCCGAGAGAGGAGAAUCAGGGGUACGUAGUUCGUCCUGAUUGGAUAAUUAAGGAUUAAAUAACAAACUAAGACUUGACCUGAGAGACAGACAAUGAAAGACGUCAAUAAAAUCUUUUUGAGUUUUUUUAAUUUGACACUUCACAUAAAACUGACACCAACAAUUAUGAAAGAAAUUUUUUUUUGGGUAUUUUAGUUAGAUGAAAUGUACAAAACAUCUACCAUCUUUUUGCAUUUUUUCCUUUAUAAAAAGCUCCAAUUAAAAAAGCAUUUUCGAAUUUUUUGAAUUAUGAAUGCAUGGUAAAGGAACAAAAGGAAAAUCUUUUUGAUGUUUUUGAGAAAAUGAGUGAGAAAGGUAAAAAAAUCUUUUCGAAUUUUUGGAUUGUGAAAAACAAAAGCCAUAAAAAACUCUAAAAACUACAAAACUCUUUUUUCCUUUUUGACUUAAUUUUUCAAUUUUUCCUCUUUUUUUUCAAUUUUUUCUUGCCUACACACUUUACUUCUAACACAUGCUUUCCCCAAAUCAGUCCGUCAAAUGACCACGUUAUCCUCAGAGAUGCAACAUUUAGCACGUAGGGAUGCUUUAAAGGUGAGUCUCCUACAAAGGACCGUGUGAGUCCUGCUAGGUCUCAAUAUGAUGCACAUAAGAAUGACCUAAAGGCUGACUUACGUUGUGGUUUACUAACAAGGCCGUUCGGGGGAGCAUAUGGUCAAUAGUGGCUGCUUUGCUUUUCACCUACUCCAUAUAUCCAACAGCUCCCCCCCCCCUAAAAUAAGGGUGACUCAACUAGAGUUCGUGCAUACGACGUGCACUCCAAGACGUUGCAGAAAGAAUUGACUCGGGUUAUGCAAAUGAUGUCAGAUAUAUAAUGGUAACACAUAAAGAAAAAUUGUAAAUAAAGAGUACAGAAAUGCACAACAGUGAUAACAAUAACACAAACAAUAAUCACAAACAAUGUUUAUACACCCAUAAUGCCAAACAAAGCCGAUACGACUCCCCAAAAAAAAAAGCUCGAAUUCUUAAAGAUUCUCCAGCAGAGUCGCCAGAGCUGUCACACCCAUUUUUUAGCUCCCAAAAGAUUCUAUUUUUAAGGUUCGAAAGGAUUUUUAUUAUCAAAGUGACAAAAGAUGAAAAUUUAUUUCGAAAAGGACCUUUUAUAUUCAAAACUCAAAGUCGCCACUUGGCAUAAUUCAGUGUGCCAAGGUACCUUUGAAAAAUCCUUUCCAAAAUGCUUUGACUCUUUAAAACUGGUUUGCGAACAGAGAUUUUGGUUAAGAAAUUCUAUUGAUCGAGGGGAAGGGGUUAGGCACCCCUCGAUCCCGUGGUUUGACCACGGUCUCUUGGUGGAGAGUAUCGGCUAAUUUGACAUUACAAAUGUAUAAACCACACAAAACACAUAAAACAAUCAACUAAACACACGAAACAAAACAAAACAAAUCCAAAAUAUAGUGUUUAGUCCAAUUAUACAGUCCAAAAAUAAGAAAAAUGCAAAAAAUAAAUCAUAUUCUAACCUACAAUAGUACUAAACUAUGCUCCGAUGAUUUACUCCAUCCGAUGUUUUGGGCCUUGGCCAUGCGCCGCCUUCAAGUACAAAUUUCUAGGGGCAUUCCCCGGAUAAAGCAAUACAGAUACCUCAGGGUAUUCCCCGAUCAAAUGAGUAUAUUUUUCAAUUGCGAUAAAACAAAUUCAUUCAACACAUAUUUCAAAAAUUUUACCAAUUUUGCAAUCCCUAAGUGUGCCUACCCCUAUCGUUUGCCUAACAAUUCAUGGCCUAAAGCAUGAUACUAUCGAACUUAACAAAGUCGACGUUUAUUUCAAAUCAAGCAAUCGUUACUAAACUAAUAUAAAUCAAUAUUCACUUUUAACAAUUUUUUAUCUUUUCCCCCAAAAUCCAACUUAACCUCAAAUCAACUACGUGAUAAACAUACUUCACACCAGGAUUAACAAUCAAAUAACGACGAGUAAAAUCACCUCAACCAAAUUCAAUCAAAAAUUACGCCAUUCAAAAAUAUUCACAAAAAGAGAGAUAAAAGAUAUAGAAUUGGACCUCAAUCGCUCAUUUUAUUCCAAAAUUAGUGAUGGAUUGGAAUUCACGAGCAACAAAACCUCGACCCAACUGGAACCUCAAUGUCGAACCCGCAACUUAAAAAAAUACCAAAGAGCACAACCCAACUCGAGUUUUAUGAAUAAAAAUCUAUGAAAAUCAUCAAUCCAAAACGAACUACUAGGAACCAAACGAGACAAUAGUAUCCAAAACCCGAACCCAUUCCAACGCUAAACCUUUUUUUGAACCAAUUUUGGAAGAAGAAUCUGGAGUCGUUACUGUUCACCUAUUUUCGGUGGGUAACGUUAGUGAUCCUCAGUUUUUGGUCGAAAAAAGGGGAACGAUAGAGAGCUGGUGGAUUUUUUGAUAGGAGAAAAUGAAUUUUGGCGAUAAUCUCGCCAGAAAAUUCAGAAUAUUAGUUGUUUCCGGUGACUUCCCCACUCCAUUUUCCGUUUCUCGUCUUUCUGUCUCCGAUCUACCUCUCAAUCUCCCAAUCUCUACUCUAAUUCCUCAACCCUCGAUCUCUCUCUGCUUGUGAUCCUCACUCUCUCGAUCUCACUAUUCCCCCUUCGAUUCACCUCGCAUCUCACUAUUUUUUCACCAUUUAUAUGUAAUUUGGGUAUAGGUGUGCGUGUAUAUGGUUGUGCUUAAGAGUGGAAUUAUGAGUUGGUGCGUGGUUUUUGUGUAUUGUCGAUCCAAGAAGAGAAAAAGAAAAAUGGAUCCCCCCUGGUGUGCCUGAUCUUUGAGGUAUAUGGUGUAUGGAGUAUAUGUGAGAUGGUGUUCUGUGGGUUGGAAGAAGAAGAACUUUUGUGUAUAUAUCUCUUGUGAAAAAAAAUCCCCAAAAUUCGUGGGGCCCUCUCCUUUUUGUUGUUAGUGUAUUUAACAAUAUUAGGAAUAUUCUCCCAUGGGGCCCACUUCUUUUUUUGUUUUCUUUUCGAAAUAGUUUCAACUUGGAUAAAAAAAAGUGAGGGGUAGGAAAAUUGGGGUGUGACGUGUCCUAAUUUCAUAGGAUAUGGUUGUUAGGAUAAGGUGUAAAGUUGGUUAAGAUAAGGUUGUUAAUUUGUUAGGGAGUUUGUUAUUUUUGUAUUUUUGUGGGGUAUGAUCACAUGGAUGAGGACACGUGGUAAGGUGAGCUAAAAAUGGAUAAAAUCAAUGUUGGGACGAAUAAAAUUAGGUGUCUAUAGUCCGUAAAGCCAACAAUUCAAUUUAGCAGUCAGGCGGACAGGUUCAUAUGGUUUCCUAUCUUUUCAUCUAAUCGCACUACCUGAAGUCUCAUGAAUAUAACCAUUCCAAGCUGGGGCAACCAGGUAGUUGCGAGUUUAGCUCAGUUCAUGUAUUAUGCCUCAGUUUCAGAUCCUCGAUAUGCAGUCAAGAUUCAGUUAAUAGGUGCCCUGUGCAUCGUCUCAGUUUUUCCUCAGUAUCUCAGCCAAGUCAGCAUUCUUCAGGGGAUAUAAUGUCCCAAGGGGGAGAUGCGCUAUAAUCCCUCGAGCUUUUAUGACCUAAACCUUCCAUCUUCUCUUUAUGUAAUGAAUCCAAUUUGGAGUAGUGGGUGCUCAUAGGUGGACCCUCAAGUACCAAUAUCAGUCGUAAGCCAUGCAUCCAGGGGCUCAGUUUAGUUUAUGAUAUUCAGUUCACGUAUCACAUUUCAGGCUUAGUCAUGUUCUCAUGUUCCCGUUCAUGCAUGUUUAGUAAAUGAUCUCAGGUUCAUUAGUAUUCUCAGUUUAAGGCAACAGGUUUCCUUAGAUUGGCUUAGUUCCAUGUUCAGGUUCAGCUACCGUUGCACAUUCAGUCAUACAUUUAUGAAUCAGUUCAGUCAUGUACUCAUUCAUCAGAUAUGCAUGUACAGAUUGAAAACUCAACUUAUUAGUAGUUUCAGUCAGGUGUUUGUCACGACCCGAACAAGGCCCUGGCCGUGACGAGCAUCCUGAGCUGUAAAGGCCCGAGCUCCCCUUUAUUAAUAGGCAAUCAUACACACGUUCAUACAAUCAUAAAGAGAAUGCGGAAUGGAUUCAUACGGAAACAUGGUCAAUAACAUCAUACGACUGAAAAGUCAAAGAUUUCAAUAAGACCUUCAACAUCAUCUAACAUCUAUCUGCAAAAUCUCUAGUAUAUCAAAACCAGUCAUCACAACUAAAACUGGGAUAAGGUCCCCAGUGGACCUAAACCAAAAUAAAUAAUAUAUGACAGAAAGAAAUAGACCUUUCGGAAUAAAGAAGGCUCACCAAUUGCAACACACUUCACUUCUGCCCGAAAACUCUACGGCUUUUCAGGAUCUCUAGACUGAGCCUCAGAUACUGGAAUAUAGGGGGUCAAAUCAAUUGUAAUGUAGCAGAGUAAUCCAAAAAUAAAAUACAACUUUUAUAUAACAUAGGUGAGAGCUAUUAUAAAACACUUUAACGUAAAAUCGUUUGAAAACACAUUGGCAUAGUAUAAUGAUUUUUCAACAAAAAUGCAGCACUAUUUAGCUAGAUGGUACACCCUACAAUUUCACAUUUUCACCAACUUCCAAGUCUCGAUUGCCACCAAGAUUGGAGUAUUAGUGAGGAAAGGACACACAAGAUCAUACAGCAGGGUGCCACAAUCCCAAUCAAUUCAAUAUGUCGUGGUUGGGCUCAAGAUCAUAAAGCAGGGCUCCUAACCAUUGGUCCCAAUUUGGGAUGAUAUAGUACUAGGUACACAAGAUCACAUAGUAGGGUACCAAGUUCCCGUGUUGGCAAUUCACGGUUCCCAGCAUAGAGUCAUCUGACUCAUGCUUUCUUCAGGUAACCAUCUAACUCAUAUCAAUUUAAUAUUUAAGUUUGAUAUAAGACAAAACAUGCAUCAUACUCACAACAUUCUCUUCCUCUUUUUAUUCGAGGAAAUUCCUUCACACGUUUUAUGCAAGUCAUUAUAUGAACACCAACAAGACUCCCAUACACCAACAUAAGCAUAUCGAUUCCCCAACACGAAAUAGUCAAGAAACUUCAACAUUUACCAAGAAACCAUCAGGAUAGCCUAGUUGCUUUGGAGGGCGGUUACCCACCCGGGUGACCAGGGAUCGAUUCCCCCCUCAAUGCCUUCUGGGUUUGAGCCUGUCGCACAGGGCUUGCCUAGUGCGGUUUAUAUCCCCAUGUGGUUUGUAGGCUAUUGCAUCGGGGGGUUUACCCAGUGCGCAUACAGUGCUCACCCGAAGGGAAGAGGCUGUGGCAGAGGGUGUAGCGGCUGCGGGUUUUUCUGGAAAGUUUCCAAAAAAAAUACAUUAUCCAAACACACUUUUCCAUGAUAAAAAAGGGGUUUUAAAAACACAUGCUCUCAAUACUUUAACAAUAGCAUUAUGUGGGGUUCAUAAACAUCAUCAUGAGAAAUAAAGAAUUCACAACUCAUGUUCAUAACACUUUUUAAAAUUCAAAUCACAUGUCCACAAAUCCAAAAAUUGAGAUACAUAAGCAAACAACCCCAUAUUCUUUCAAUAUUCUUCUCAAAACCAUAUCACAAUGCAUGCUUUUUGUGUUAAAACGAAACCCCACUUAUAAUGGCAUACAUACAUACAUACAUAAUUAUUAAAAAAUCUUAUUUAAAUUCAUAUCAAAAUCAUGUCCAUGAGAUUUAGGAUAACCCCACAUACUUUAGAUUAAUUAGUUUAGAGAGAAGAACCUGAAUCUCCAUUCAUUCUUUGGAAAUCUUGAACUUAGAGGUUGGUUCUUGAUUCCUUGUUCUUGGGAGAAACCCUAAUUUUGAUGUUAUGAAUGAAUAAGGAGUUAUGUCCUUUGAUUUGAUGUAAUAAGGUGUUAAAAAAGUGAAAAAGACCCAAAAAUUUCUUUAAAAACGGCUUUAGAUCACUAAACGGAGGUUCGAGACGGUUUGGGCGACGAACCGUCACCCCAGGGAUGGACCGUCCCUCAAACCAUCACUUUUUGGCCAGAAAAUGGACUUACUACCUCAGUUGCGAUGGUUUGGCUGGCGGUCCAUCGCUGGCGCGAUGGUCCGUUGGCCUUCUCGUCGCACUUUGGCAGUUCGUAUAGCUCCAAAUAAGUUUUUCUAAUAGUAAAAAGCACCUUAAAACCACUCAUAAGUUGGAGAUGAGGAUGAUGAGUUGGGAUCCGGCCAUAACUUUUUACCCCGAUAUCGGAUUUAGGAAAAAUUGGUGGUGUUGGAAAGAGGACUCAAAGAACUUUCAUUUUAUAUAGAGUAGGCCCUCUAAUUCUAUAUAUACAAAAAGUUAUGGUCAAUUGAAAUUAACCUGAGUUUAAAUGCUCACCAAAACUAAAUCGAUAGGAAGGCUUUCAACUCAUCCUUGAGUUAAGGGAUCUCUAUGAUCUUAAUUCAUGCUCAACUAGAUUUCCACACUAUUAGUUGAUUAACACACUACAUUUACAUUAGAUUUAUGAUUUUUGGAUUAUUUACGCGUGGAAAUAACGGUUUAUAUUGUUUAAUUAUAUUGUUUUUAUAUCUCUAUUUUGAGAUUUUUUAUUGUGUUAAUGUUAAGUUUAAUUGUAUUUUUUGAUAUCUCUAUUAUAUAGUAUUAUUUUGUUGUAGUUUACAAGUGGUAGAUGGGUGUCAGAUGGCUUUGACAAAUUUUUUGUGUAAAGGUUAGAUUUAAUUAUACUGUUUUGACUAAAAAAAAUAACUACUCCCUCCGUUUAAAAAAGAAUGACCUACUUUCCUUUUUUGUUGGUUUCAAAAGAAUGACCCCUUUUCUUUUUUAGCAAUACUUUAAUUUCAACUUUCCAUAUGACAUGUUUAGAACCAUGAGAUUAAAGGACAUUUUGGUACAUUUAACCUAAUUUUAAUUUAAGGCCACAAGAUUCAAAAAUCUUCUUUAUUUUCUUAAACUUUGUGCCAAUUCAAAGUAGGUCAUUCUUUUUUAAUGGAGGGAGUAUCAUUCUUUUUUGAACUUGAAAUAUCAAGGUGAAUUUUUUAUGGAGAGGAUUCGGAUGAACACCUUCGCCCCUAAAUCCAACCUUGUACAUAAUGACCAAGUUUUUUUUUCCUUCUAGCAUGCAUCAUGUGUGUCAUCACUUCACCUGAUACUUCUAAAUCUAGCUUGGUACUCUUCUUUUAAUCAUCUACUUGCUUUCUUACAACAAUUGGAAUUCUAACAAAAUAUUUGCCAUCACUCCAUGACAAACUUCUGAAGGUAAAUUUACCACUUUUUGGGCAAGUGGAUGUGAUCUUUACCUCAAAGGAAAUCUUGGUUAUCUUGGAAGUAAACUUCAACACAU